CUGAAGAGUUUGAUCCUGGCUCAGAUUGAACGCUGGCGGCAUGCUUUACACAUGCAAGUCGAACGGCAGCACGGGCUUCGGUCUGGUGGCGAGUGGCGAACGGGUGAGUAAUAUAUCGGAACGUACCCAGAAGUGGGGGAUAACGUAGCGAAAGUUACGCUAAUACCGCAUACGAUCUAAGGAUGAAAGCAGGGGAUCUUCGGACCUUGUGCUCCUGGAGCGGCCGAUAUCUGAUUAGCUAGUUGGUGAGGUAAAGGCUCACCAAGGCGACGAUCAGUAGCUGGUCUGAGAGGACGACCAGCCACACUGGAACUGAGACACGGUCCAGACUCCUACG
rnacentral:rRNA from 1 species